rnacentral:rRNA from 1 species
CCUACGGGGGGCAGCAGUGGGGAAUAUUGGACAAUGGGGGAAACCCUGAUCCAGCGACGCCGCGUGAGUGAAGAAGUAUUUCGGUAUGUAAAGCUCUAUCAGCAGGGAAGAAAAUGACGGUACCUGACUAAGAAGCCCCGGCUAACUACGUGCCAGCAGCCGCGGUAAUACGUAGGGGGCAAGCGUUAUCCGGAUUUACUGGGUGUAAAGGGAGUGUAGACGGCUGUGCAAGUCUGAAGUGAAAGCCCGGGGCUCAACCCCGGUAUUGCUUUGGAAACUGUGUAGCUAGAGUGCAGGAGAGGUAAGUGGAAUUCCUAGUGUAGCGGUGAAAUGCGUAGAUAUUAGGAGGAACACCAGUGGCGAAGGCGGCUUACUGGACUGUAACUGACGUUGAGGCUCGAAAGCGUGGGGAGCAAACAGGAUUAGAUACCCCGGUAGUC